rnacentral:tRNA from 1 species
GGCUCGGUGGUCUGGGGGAGUAUGAUUCUCGCUUAGGGUGCGAGAGGUCCCGGUUCAAAUCGGCCGAGCCC